rnacentral:rRNA from 1 species
UAACGGCGAGUGAAGCGGCAACAGCUCAAAUUUGAAAUCUGGCGUCUUGGACGUCCGAGUUGUAAUUUGCAGAGGGAGUCUCGGGUUCGGGGUUGGUCCAAGUUCCUUGGAACAGGAUGCCGCAGAGGGUGAGAGUCCCGUAUCCGGCCGAUGCCCAAGCCCGUGUGAGGCCCCUUCGACGAGUCGAGUUGUUUGGGAAUGCAGCUCUAAAUGGGUGGUAAAUUCCAUCUAAAGCUAAAUACUGGCCAGAGACCGAUAGCGCACAAGUAGAGUGAUCGAAAGAUGAAAAGCACUUUGAAAAGAGAGUCAAACAGUACGUGAAAUUGUUGAAAGGGAAGCGUAUGUGGGCAGACUUGACCGCGGGAUUCAAGCCGUCUUUUGACGGGUGUAUUUUCUCGCGGGCAGGCCAGCAUCGGUUUCCCGGGCCGGACAAAGACGACGGGAAUGUGACUCCCCGCGGGGAGUGUUAUAGCCCGACGUGCAAUGCGGCCACGGGGGACCGAGGACCGCGCGUAAGCAAGGAUGCUGGCGUAAUGGCCUCAUACGGCCCGUCUUGAAACACGGACCAAGGAGUCUAACAUCUAUGCGAGUGUUUGGGUGUCAAGCCCGGACGCGCAAUGAAAGUGAACGGAGGUGGGAAUCUCUCGCGAGGGGGAUGCAGCAUCGACCGAUCCUGAAGAUUUCGGAAGGAUUUGAGUAAAAGCAUAUAGGUUGGGACCCGAAAGAUGGUGAACUAUGCGUGAAUAGGGUGAAGCCAGAGGAAACUCUGGUGGAGGCUCGCAGCGGUUCUGACGUGCAAAUCGAUCGUCAAAUUUGCGUAUAGGGGGGAAAAAUAAUCGAACUCUAUAGCGGGGG